rnacentral:rRNA from 1 species
AACGAACGCUGGCGGCAUGCCUAACACAUGCAAGUCGAACGAGACCUUCGGGUCUAGUUGCGCACGGGUGCGUAACGCGUGGGAACCUGCCCUUAGGUUCGGAAUAACUCCCCGAAAGGGGUGCUAAUACCGGUUAAUGUCUUCGGACCAAAGAUUUAUCGCCUUUGGAUGGGCCCGCGUUGGAUUAGCUAGUUGGUAGGGUAAAAGCCUACCAAGGCGACGAUCCAUAGCUGGUCUGAGAGGAUGAUCAGCCACACUGGGACUGAGACACGGCCCAGACUCCUACGGGAGGCAGCAGUGGGGAAUAUUGGGCGAUGGGCGAAAGCCUGAUCCAGCAAUGCCGCGUGAGUGAUGAAGGCCUUAGGGUUGUAAAGCUCUGUUACCCGGGAUGAUAAUGACAGUACCGGGAGAAUAAGCUCCGGCUAACUCCGUG